GUACUCAUUUUGGCAGCACAUACUAAAAUUGGAACUAUAUAGAGAAGAUUAGCAUGGCCCAUGCACAAGGAUGACAUGCAAGUUCAUGAAGCAUUCCAUAUUUUU